rnacentral:rRNA from 1 species
CCCUUAGAUGUCCUGGGCCGCACGCGCGUUACACUGAUGCAUUCAACGAGCUUAUAACCUUGGCCGAGAGGCCUGGGCAAUCUUGUUAACGUGCAUCGUGAUAGGGAUAGAUUAUUGAAAUUAUUAAUCUUGAACGAGGAAUUCCUAGUAAACGCAGAUCAUCAAUCUGCAUUGAUUACGUCCCUGCCCUUUGUACACACCGCCCGUCGCACCUACCGAUUGAGUGAUCCGGUGAAUUAACCAGAUUGUGGCGAGGGUAGUUUUCUGCUAUUGCUACGAAAAGGUUUGUGAACCUUAUCACUUAGAGGAAGGAGAAGUCGUAACA